AAAGGUUAAAUUGGUUUAUUACAAACAAAAAUUUUUGGUGAAGCUAAGAAGUCUUUGGUUUAAACUAGGAUUAGAUACCCUAUUAUACUUAGAUAAAAAAUAAGAAGUUAAGUAGUAAAAGUUAUUUUCUUUAAAUUAAGAGAAUUUGGCGGUUAUUCAGUCUAGUUAGAGGAACCUGUUUUUUAAACGAUAAGCCACGAAGUAUCUUACUUAAGCUUGUAUACCGUCAUUAUUAGAUGAUUUUUAUAGAAUAAAUUAUUUAAGUUUAAUUAAAUUAGUUUAGUAUAUUAGAUCAAGGUGCAGCUUAUGUAUAAGUAAAAAUGGGUUACAAUAAAUUUUAUUUAUAAUGGAUUUAUUUGUAAUGAAGGAGGAUUUAAUUGUAAUAAGAGUUUAAUAAGUUUUUAUGAUAUUAGUUCUGAAUUAUGUACAUAUCGCCCGUCGCUUUC
rnacentral:rRNA from 1 species